UACGUAGGGCGCAAGCGUUGUCCGGAAUUAUUGGGCGUAAAGAGCUCGUAGGCGGUUUGUCGCGUCUGCUGUGAAAACCUAAGGCUCAACCUUGGGCUUGCAGUGGGUACGGGCAGACUAGAGUGCGGUAGGGGUGACUGGAAUUCCUGGUGUAGCGGUGGAAUGCGCAGAUAUCAGGAGGAACACCGAUGGCGAAGGCAGGUCACUGGGCCGCAACUGGACG
rnacentral:rRNA from 1 species